UAGGGGGCCGUUUCCUACAUCCUCCAUUACAAUAAUGGUGCCUAAAGACACCAAGAUGUAAAUUACUUCACAGGCGCUGGGUAAUCUCCAUUCCUUUGAUCUCUGCCUAUCCCGUGGCUCAUUUGGCCUGAGGAGCUGAAGCCAUUCAUAGGGUAACACGUCCCAGGCGGCUGGCCAGCCUUUAUUAGGGAUGGGUUUUCUUAGUUCAGAGUCUCCGCUCUGGUAAGCUUAUGCAUUAAAGCAUGUCUGCAGAAGGAUCCGAGUGUCCUGCGUGUAUUUCUUGCUGGCGAGAAAAUACAGCGCGCGGGACAUAUGGUGCCGAAACCCGGGAAGCUUAACAUCACCGGCACCGCGGAGAACCCUUGGCUACAAGGCGGAUUCAGAACUGCAGGGUGGUAAAUUUGGAGAGGAUGAAGAAAAUCCUCUAUGGAUCCCAGAAAGACUCACCCGAAGAGCCCCUUCGGACCUUCAAAAGUCGGAACUCCACCCUCUCCCCGGGAGUUGAGAGCCGCUAUUGUUAUCCAGAUUAACUCCUGUCCUUGGCGGAGAGAUUGUAUCGCUAAAGGGGUGGGAGUGGGAUUGUUUGAUGCAGCCGUUUGCGGAUUGCUGUUACUUCUGGCCGGUCUGUGAGAAAGGGGUGGGGGUGGAAUUGUUUGAUGCAGCCGUUUGCAGAUUGGUGUUACUCCUCUGGCUGGUCUGUAAGCUCCAGGGCUCAAACCAAGAGAUCGCCCAAGCGCUUCCACUGAUAUUUGGCUGACAAUGCUUAAGCAAUAGGCCGCCGGCCAGACAGCUCUUGCACACCCGGAGCCUAGGCUCAUUGCACAGGGUAGAGUGUCUGGUUUGAGCAGCCCCAAUGAGGGAUGCUGAGCAAAGGCAUCGCACAGAGUUGCCUAAUAUGCAGGCUUCUCUGAGAGGUACGUUGACCUGCAUAAGGGUUACCUGCCCCGAGCUUCCCUUUCCCAGAAAAACGGCAGAGGACAGGUCGAGAGUACUUCGGGUCAAGCUAACAGCCUGAUGGCGACUCUCGUACACAGUCUUAAUGUUUGAUUUGGGAAGGUUCAACCUCUGCCUCUAUCCCUCAACAUAUGGGUGACCUAUUUGCUUGUAAAAAUAUAAAGCCUUUUCAUUAAUUAAUAAAAAAAGGGGGAUAUGUAGGGGGCCGUUUCCUACAUCCUCCAUUACAAUAAUGGUGCCUAAAGACACCAAGAUGUAAAUUACUUCACAGGCGCUGGGUAAUCUCCAUUCCUUUGAUCUCUGCCUAUCCCGUGGCUCAUUUGGCCUGAGGAGCUGAAGCCAUUCAUAGGGUAACACGUCCCAGGCGGCUGGCCAGCCUUUAUUAGGGAUGGGUUUUCUUAGUUCAGAGUCUCCGCUCUGGUAAGCUUAUGCAUUAAAGCAUGUCUGCAG
rnacentral:lncRNA from 1 species